UGCGUAUGCAGUGCACCAAGA
ensembl:piRNA 21ur-464 ncRNA